CUAAUACCGUAUAACAAUGACAACCGCAUGGUUGUUAUUUAAAAGAUGGUUCUGCUAUCACUAAGAGAUGGUCCCGCGGUGCAUUAGCUAGUUGGUAAGGUAAUGGCUUACCAAGGCGAUGAUGCAUAGCCGAGUUGAGAGACUGAUCGGCCACAAUGGGACUGAGACACGGCCCAUACUCCUACGGGAGGCAGCAGUAGGGAAUCUUCCACAAUGGGCGAAAGCCUGAUGGAGCAACGCCGCGUGUGUGAUGAAGGGUUUCGGCUCGUAAAACACUGUUGUAAGAGAAGAAUGACAUUGAGAGUAACUGUUCAAUGUGUGACGGUAUCUUACCAGAAAGGAACGGCUAAAUACGUGCCAGCAGCCGCGGUAAUACGUAUGUUCCAAGCGUUAUCCGGAUUUAUUGGGCGUAAAGCGAGCGCAGACGGUUAUUUAAGUCUGAAGUGAAAGCCCUCAGCUCAACUGAGGAAUUGCUUUGGAAACUGGAUGACUUGAGUGCAGUAGAGGAAAGUGGAACUCCAUGUGUAGCGGUGAAAUGCGUAGAUAUAUGGAAGAACACCAGUGGCGAAGGCGGCUUUCU
rnacentral:rRNA from 1 species